GACGAACGCUGGCGGCAGGCCUAAUACAUGCAAGUCGAACGCCCCUUCGGGGGGGUGGCGGCCGGGUGGUUAACGCGGGGGAACUGGCCCUUUGGUCUGGAACAACACAGGGAAACUUGGGCUAUAACGGAAGGUGCCCUUGGGGGGAAGGAUUUACCGCCAUUGGAGCGGCCCGCGUUGGAUUAGCUAGUUGGUGGGGUAAUGGCCAACCAAGGCGACGAUCCAUAGCUGGUCUGAGAGGAUGAUCAGCCACACUGGGACUGAGACACGGCCCAGACUCCUACGGGAGGCAGCAGUAGGGAAUCUUGCGCAAUGGGCGAAAGCCUGACGCAGCCAUGCCGCGUGAAUGAUGAAGGUCUUAGGAUUGUAAAAUUCUUUCACCGGGGAAGAUAAUGACGGUACCCGGAGAAGAAGCCCCGGCUAACUUCGUGCCAGCAGCCGCCGUAAUAC
rnacentral:rRNA from 1 species